rnacentral:tRNA from 1 species
GCGAAGGUGGCGGAAUUGGUAGACGCGCUAGCUUCAGGUGUUAGUGUUCUUAGGGACGUGGGGGUUCAAGUCCCCCCCCUCGCACCA